CUAUUGAUCAUUGCAACCUUUAGAAAUAACUAUAUUAAUUAAUGGAUAAUUAAUUACAACUUUUGGUGAUUAAGCAUUGUAACUCUUUACUAACCAUUGCAACUCCUUAUUAACUUUUGUAUCUUUUGGUUUAACCAUUGCAAUUAUUGGUUGCAACUCUUCAUUCUCUAUAUAAAGAAUAAUAGACAUUUGCAAAUGGAUAUAAAAAAAUCAGAAACUAAUAAAAGGAGAAAAAAAUUUAUUGUGUAAAGAUUAUCAAAGACUUUGAAGAAACACAUAU
rnacentral:lncRNA from 1 species